rnacentral:rRNA from 1 species
GCGUGCUAGAAUGCAGUCGAACGCGAAAUCUCCCUUCGGGGAGAAAGUAGAGUGGCGCACGGGUGAGUAACACGUAGGUAAUCUACCUUUGGAUGGGGAAUAACGCAGAGAAAUCUGCGCUAAUACCGCAUAAUGCAGCGGCACCUAAUGGUGACAGUUGUUAAAGCGGGGGAUCGUAAGACCUCGCGUCUAAAGAGGAGCCUGCGGCGGAUUAGCUAGUUGGUAAGGUAAUGGCUUACCAAGGCUACGAUCCGUAACCGGCCUGAGAGGGCGGUCGGUCACACUGACACUGACAUACGGGUCAGACUCCUACGGGAGGCAGCAGUCGGGAAUUUUGGGCAAUGGGCGAAAGCCUGACCCAGCAACGCCGCGUGAAGGAUGAAAUCCCUCGGGAUGUAAACUUCGCAAGAACGGGAAGAAUAAGUAGGGGACAAUACCCCCUAUGAUGACGGUACCGUUUGUAAGCUCCGGCUAACUCCGUGCCAGCAGCCGCGGUAAUACGGGGGGAGCAAGCGUUGUUCGGAUUUACUGGGCGUAAAGGGCGCGUAGGCGGUCAGCACAAGUCAGUUGUGAAAUCUCCGAGCCUAACUCGGAAAGGUCAACUGAUACUGUGCGACUAGAGUGCAGAAGGGGCAACUGGAAUUCUCGGUGUAGCGGUGAAAUGCGUAGAUAUCGAGAGGAACACCUGCGGCGAAGGCGGGUUGCUGGGCUGACACUGACGCUGAGGCGCGAAAGCUAGGGGAGCGAACGGGAUUAGAUACCCCGGUAGUCCUAGCCUUAAACGAUGAAUGCUUGGUGUCUGGGGUUAUAUAGUCCCCGGGUGCCGUCGCUAACGCUUUAAGCAUUCCGCCUGGGGAGUACGGUCGCAAGACUGAAACUCAAAGGAAUUGACGGGGACCCGCACAAGCGGUGGAGCAUGUGGUUUAAUUCGACGCAACGCGAAGAACCUUACCUGGGCUAGA